rnacentral:rRNA from 1 species
CACGUAGGGGGCAAGCGUUGUCCGGAUUUAUUGGGCGUAAAGAGCUCGUAGGCGGUUCGGUAAGUCGGGUGUGAAACCUCCAGGCUCAACCUGGAGACGCCACCCGAUACUGCUGUGACUAGAGUCCGGGUAGGGGGAGCGUGGGAAAUUCCUGGGUGUAGCGGUGAAAUGCGCAGAUAUCAGGAGGAACACCAGCGGCGAAGGCGGCGCUCUGGGCCGGAACUGACGCUGAGGAGCGAAAGCGUGGGGAGCAAACAGG